rnacentral:rRNA from 1 species
AUGAACGCUGGCGGCGUGCCUAAUACAUGCAAGUCGAGCGAACGGACGAGAAGCUUGCUUCUCUGAUGUUAGCGGCGGACGGGUGAGUAACACGUGGAUAACCUACCUAUAAGACUGGGAUAACUUCGGGAAACCGGAGCUAAUACCGGAUAAUAUUUUGAACCGCAUGGUUCAAAAGUGAAAGACGGUCUUGCUGUCUCUUAUAGAUGGAUCCGCGCUGCAUUAGCUAGUUGGUAAGGUAACGGCUUACCAAGGCAACGAUGCAUAGCCGACCUGAGAGGGUGAUCGGCCACACUGGAACUGAGACACGGUCCAGACUCCUACGGGAGGCAGCAGUAGGGAAUCUUCCGCAAUGGGCGAAAGCCUGACGGAGCAACGCCGCGUGAGUGAUGAAGGCCUUCGGAUCGUAAAACUCUGUUAUUAGGGAAGAACAUAUGUGUAAGUAACUGUGCACAUCUUGACGGUACCUAAUCAGAAAGCCACGGCUAACUACGUG